AAUUAAUAAGUAGGUAAGGCAGGGAAGGCGAUAAAUUCAGUAAUAAAGCAGAAAAUAACAAAAAUGAUGGAUGAUAUAUCUGUGGGCAGCCUCCAUAUCCCCUUCCAUCUCCUGUCAACCACCCUCAUAUUUCUGCUUAUUUCUCUUCUUCUAGGCCUAAUUAAACCUUCCCCGACUGCCUAAUUACUCUCAAAAGGUUAAUUAAUAAGUGCGUAGGGCAGGGAAGCCGAUAAAUUCAGUAAUAAAGCAGAAAAUAACAAAAAUAAUGGAUGGUGUAUCUGUGAGCAGCCUCCAUAUCCCCUUCCAUCUCCUGUCAACCACAAACAUAUUUCUGCUUAUUUCUCUUCUUCUAGGCCUAAUUAAACCUUCCCCGACAGCCUAAUUACUCUCAAAAGGUUAAUUAAUAAGUAGGUAAGGCAGGGAGGUCAUUAAAUAGCGUAAUAAUGGUAAAAUAACGUAAAAUGUGAGAUGCCUCAACAUACCUCUUCGAAUGUAAACAAGAAGGGGAUACGAGUGUACUUUAUUUUCCUCGAUUUUCAUUAUUUUAACUUUCCUGGUUAUUUCUUUUUAUUUAUUUAGUUAUUAUUGUUAUUUAUAUGUAAUUAAGUGAUUGGAAUUACUUAGAACACCUCCUAGUAAUUAUAUGUCAGUCUCAAGUAAUUACAUUUUUCAUAAUACGACUUUCUAUGUAAUCUAGGCUUAUAUAUAAUCUCUUCACAUUCUAGAAAUUAUAUAUAUUGUAAUUACAUAUAUUUAGGGCAUAAUUAUAUAUCUCUAACCGAGUAAUUACAUUUUCUAUUAUGAUUUAGGAUCGUAACUCAUCCCUUUACAAGCUUCGAGUAAUUAUAUAUGUAAGAAUUAUAUAUAUUAUGAUGGUAAUUAUAUGUUUUCUUAUGUAAUUAAUGGUUUUGUAUGUAAUUUGAACCUUGGAAUUAUAUAGUACAGCAAAAUUACUUUACUAAUGAUAAUAAUAAUAAUAAUAAUAAUAAUAAUAAUAAUAAUAAUAAUAAUAAUAAUAAUAAUAAUAAUAAUAAUAAUAAUAAUAAUAAUAAUAAUAAUUUGGGGGUUGAAAGAAAGUAAUUAUAUAUGAGUUUCUGCAUAAUUAUAUUUAAAUACAAACAGAUAAUUACAAUAGUUAUAUAUAUACAGAGAGAGAGAGAGAGAGAGAGAGAGAGAGAGAGAGAGAGAGAGAGAGAGAGAGAGAGAGAGUUGUAAUCCUAUGUAAUUGACUGGCUUUGAUAAUUAUAUAUAUAUUUGAAGUUAGUAGCAAAAAAAAUAAUAAAGAAAAUUAGAGAGAGAGAGAGAGAGAGAGAGAGAGAGAGAGAGAGAGAGAGAGAGAGAGAGAGAGAGAGAGAGAGAGAGAGAGAGAGAGAGAGA